UUAACACAUGCAAGUCGAACGGUAACAGGCCCUUCGGGGUGCUGACGAGUGACGGACGGGUGAGUAAUGCGUAGGAAUCUACCUAAUGGAGUGGGAUAACCUAGGGAAACUUAGGGUAAUACCGCAUAAGCCUUACGAGGUAAAGCAGGGGACUUUCGGGCCUUGCCGCUGUUAGAUGAGCCUACGUCGGAUUAGCUUGUUGGUGGGGUAAAGGCCUACCAAGGCGAUGAUCCGUAGCUGGCCUGAGAGGGCGACCAGCCACACUGGGACUGAGACACGGCCCAGACUCCUACGGGAGGCAGCAGUGGGGAAUAUUGGACAAUGGGCGCAAGCCUGAUCCAGCAAUGCCGCGUGUGUGAAGAAGGCCUGCGGGUUGUAAAGCACUUUCGGUGGGGAGGAAAGACUCUGAGCUAAUAUCUCAGAGAGUUGACGUUACCCACAGAAGAAGCACCGGCUAACUCUGUGCCAGCAGCCGCGGUAAU
rnacentral:rRNA from 1 species